rnacentral:rRNA from 1 species
UGGGGGAUUUUGCACAAUGGGCGCAAGCCUGAUGCAGCGACGCCGCGUGAGGGAUGAAGGCCUUCGGGUUGUAAACCUCUUUCGCUGGGUUGAAAGGCCAUGCUUGGGGUGUGGUUGAUUUGAACUGGUAAAGAAGUACCGGCUAACUACGUGCCAGCAGCCGCGGUAAUACGUAGGGUACUAGCGUUGUCCGGAUUUAUUGGGCGUAAAGGGCUUGUAGGUGGUUUGUCGCGUCUGUCGUGAAAUCCUGUGGCUUAACCAUGGGCUUGCGGUGGGUACGGGCAGGCUUGAGUGCGGUAGGGGAGACUGGAAUUCCUGGUGUAGCGGUGGAAUGCGCAGAUAUCAGGAGGAACACCGGUGGCGAAGGCGGGUCUCUGGGCCGUUACUGACACUGAGGAGCGAAAGCGUGGGGAGCGAACAGG